rnacentral:rRNA from 1 species
CAGUCGCCGCGGGAAUACGAAGGGUGCAAGCGUUACUCGGAAUUACUGGGCGUAAAGCGUGCGCAGGCGGUGUUGUAAGACUGAUGUGAAAUCCCCGGGCUCAACCUGGGAACUGCAUUGGUGACUGCAACGCUGGAGUGCGGCAGAGGGGGAUGGAAUUCCGCGUGUAGCAGUGAAAUGCGUAGAUAUGCGGAGGAACACCGAUGGCGAAGGCAAUCCCCUGGGCCUGCACUGACGCUCAUGCACGAAAGCGUGGGGAGCAAACAGGAUUAGAUACCCCGGUAGUCCCUGUCUCUUAUAC